CCGAAAGGAACAAACCCAACUAGUUCCUCAUUUCUCUGGUCAUAAAGAAAACAUUGACUCUAAUCACCUCAAAGUCAAAGAACUACCUUUGGAGGCAAGAUGAAGGGAACUGUCAUAUUGCUCUGCUUAGCAUUCCUUUUCUACAGCUGUGACAUGGUAUCAGGUAAUCACAAACAUGCAAUAUGCAUCCGUUUUUAAAAUUGUGUAUUUCAAAUAUUGUAUCAGAUAUAUGAUAGUAGUGGUGGCUGUUGAACUGUUUAGUUGGUGCUUUCAUAGAAUUAUUAUUAUCAAUUAUAUUGUGCCGAGAUUUUCUGCAUUGCUUUGCAGUUAUACAAUGGAAUCAUUUAACAACAUGUAAUUGACAGACACAAAUAAUGUUGCCAGAAAUGAGACACAAGGGUUGAAGCCAGAUCUGCUUAAACAAGUUUACAAACUAGGAGUUGACUUUAUAUUCCCUAAUCAUUUAUAAUCCACACUAUUAGUUGUGUAAAUGGGUGUCAUACAAUUAUUACUUGUGCUUAAAUUACUGUUAAUGACAAGCUGAAAAGCACUAUAUUUUGGCAAGAAAAGUCAAUGAAUACCUGUUUGCUGCUGCAAUGUAAACAUAUUUCUAAGAAUAUCUCAUUAAUGAAGAUUGGUGUAAAAUAACAGAUGCAUCUUCUAAAUGUGCUUUAUUAAGCGGCCCUAAUUAUGCGGUAUCUUCCAUACUAGUUUAGUUCUGUGAUGUAGAUGUACAAUAAUUGAUGCAUCUUGUACCUAUUGAAGAUUUGUUUAACAAAAAAAAGACAAUCGGGGGGAAAUUACCAGCCACAAUCAAUGCUCUGUCAAUAUGGCUAAAUUUAUUUACAAUAUAGAUGUAACAAGCUAGCUAAAAUGCCAAUACCAUUUGUUUAACCCCUCCUCCUCCUACGCCAAAAAAGACAGAAUAAUCAAGGAUGUAGUUAAUAUGUGGCAUCCCAUUGUACAGUGCUACAAAAUUUGCUGGCACUAUAUAAAUAAUAACACCAUAAUAAUAAUAUAAGCUUUCAUAUUAAGGAGAUAUGUAACUAAAAGUGUAGAAUGAUUUCCCCAUGUGGUGGAACAAUUGGAAAUCACUUUACGUUUUAGCCAUCUGUUGAUCAACAGUCGAAAUAUAUAAAAGGCUAAAUUUGAUGGAACAGAAUUUUUUUUCUUCCUGGUUUAUUACUUAACUUACUAUUUAACAAUGGAUAGCAAAAGCAUCCUUUCACGGAUUAAAAAUAUGAAAUCAUAUUACAAUUGACAAGUGCAAUUACAAUGCCCAUUGUGGCAUAAAGGACGAGCCACCAGCAUCUUAUAGAAAACAAAUAAAUGUGAUCUGUGCAAGUACAUAGGUACAUAGGCACUACUGGGAAAAGUGGAGAAUUAAGAAGGAAACUACACUCCCCUCCAUAACCACCACCAAAAAGUUAAACCGAAAAAAAUAAUUUGGAGAUCUUUUUCAAUCACAUAGAAACAUAGUAUGUGAUGGCAGAUAAGAACAAUUCGGCCCAUCUAGUCUGCCCAAUUUUCUCAAUACUUUCACUAGUCCCUGGCUUUAUCUUAUAGUUAGAAUAGCUUUAUCUUAUAUAUGCCUACCCCACACAUGCUUAAGUUCCCUCACUGUUUUAACCUCUACCACUUCAGCUAGAAGGCUGCUCUAUUUAUCCAUUACUCUCUUAGUAAAAUAAUACUUCCUGAUAAUAUUUUUAAACCACUGCCCAUCUACCGUAUAUACUCGAGUAUAAGUCGACCCCAAUAUAAGUCGAGACCCCUAAUUUUACCCAAAAAAACUGGGAAACUUAUUGACUCGAGUAUAAGAAUAGGGUGGGAAAUGCAGCAGCUACUGGUAAAUUUCUAAAUAAAAUUAGAUCCCCCAAAAAUGAUAUUAAUUGAAUAUUUAUUUACAGUGUAUUUGUAUGAAUGCAGUGUGUGUAUGAAUGCAUUGUGUGUGUGUGUGUAUGAAUGCAGUGUGUGUAUGUGAUGCAGAGCCUUGGUGGGGGGUGGGCAUUUUUAUUAUUAUUUUUAAUUAUUAUUAUUAUUAUUUUUUAAUAUUAUAAAUUUUUAUUUUAUUUUAAUAUUAUAUACAUUUUUAUUUAUUUAUUUUCGUCCCCCCUCCCUGCUUGAUAAAUGGCCAGGGAGGGGGGCUCCCACUCCCUGGUGGUCCAGUGGCAUUGGCUGUGUAGGAGGGUGAUUGGCAGAGAGCUGUAACUUACCUUUCCUGCAGCUCCUGUCAGCUCCCUUCUCCUCCGAUCCGGUCAGCUCCCCUGUCAGCUCCCUUGUAAGUCUCGCGGUGUGACUGCCGCGACGAGCGUUGCCACGGUAACCCGUGGCAAUGCUCUGACCCCGCGGCUCUCGCGAGACUUGCAAGGGAGCUGACAGGGGAGCUGACCGGACCGGAGGAGAGAGAAUGGAGCUGCCAGGAGCUGCAGGAAAGGUAAAUUACAGCUCUCUGCCAGCCCCCAACAGGACCGCCGGGCUUGUAAUGAGCCCGGCGGUCCUGGUCUGUAUUAUGGCAAUGUAAGUUGCCAUAAUACAGACAUUGACUCGAGUAUAAGAUGAGUGGGGGGUUUUCAGCACAAAAAAAUGUGCCGAAAAACUCGUCUUAUACUCGAGUAUAUACAGUAAUUCAAAAUUCAGCUAUUUUGGCCCAUAAUUUGAAGUUGUCCAUAUUUCACAAUUUCAGUUUUACUGAAUACAUUUUACAUACAAUAGCUUAUUUUCAAGUGUGUGCUAUCUUGAUAGCUAUGUUGAUAUUUUGGUAUUUAAUCCUUUAACCCUUAAGGACAGUGGGCGUUCUAUGCCAUCGUUUCUGGGGUGGCUCUAAACGCCGGAGGGCGGCAUUGAACGUCCCCACCGUCCUUCAUACUCAGACUCGUCCCCGCUGAUCCCACGCCAGCGGUCAUUCAGGCAGUCCCCCUCAGCCCGAUCCGGCCCUCCCGGGCCAUGUUAUCACAUGGCCAGAAUAGCCGGCUUAUGCAGUGCCUGCAGGGGGACUGCCUGAGCUACCAGGCUGUCCCCCUAGAGCCUGCAAAAAAGUUUUUAAAGUUAAAAUAAAGUUUUAAAACAUUUUAUAAAUUAAAUAAAAAGAUCUAAGUACUUUUAUAUACACAUACAUACAUCAUUAUUAAAAGUGUUAAAAUACACUUAGAAUGACGUUAAUUAUAUAUAUAUAUAUAUAUAUAUAUAUAUAAAAAAUAAUAAUCAAUAAAUACAUUUAAAAAACUUAAUUAAAAUAAAACAUUUUUUUUAAAUGUAUUUAUUUAUAAAAAAUGUUACCAGGAAAGAUACAUUGAGAUUUCUCUCGUUUUCAAGUAUGUCCUGGGUCCACAAAACAUUGCAUUGUUACAUUAGGGUACAAUAAAAUACAAAAACAAUAUUAAUACACAAUAUAUACAAAAUUUAACAUAGAACAGGUAGGAAAUAUAUAAUCAACCGUGCAUUCUGUUUCGAGGUAUGUAGAGAGGGAUCUCUUAAAGGACUUUAGGCUUGGAGAAGAUUUUAAAGUGUGCGGGAGGUCGUUCCAUAAUUGCGGCGCUCUGUAGGAGAAGGAGCAUAUACUACAUCCCCAUAAUCAAUUAUUGGCUUCAGCAUUUGAAAUGAAAUACUUGUUUAAAUUCAUUCUAACUGUAUUUUGAUAUUAAUAUACCGGUACAUAUAAAUUUAAAUCAAAAUACAUUUAGAAUGAUGUUAUAAAUACAUAUAUGUAUCUAUAUCUAUCUCUCUCUCUCUCUCUCUCUAUAUAUAUAUAUAUCUAUAUAUAUAUAUAUAUAUAUAUAUAUAUAUAUAUAUAUAUAUAAAAAAGAUAGGGGUUGGCUGCACACACCUGAACAUGCAUAAAUGGGGGUGCUGCUGGGGCUAAUAAUUCAAUACACAAGAUCGCACUCACCUAUCCACUAAACAGCAACUUCAAUGUUGAAACACUUAAAAUAUUUCAACAUUGAAGUUGCUGUUAAUAGCGCUGAUCUUAAUCAUAUAUAUAUAUAUAUAUAUAUAUAUAUAUAUAUAUAUAUAUAUAGCUAUAUAUAAAUAAAAUAAUGGAAAUAUAUAUUAUAUAUAUAUAUAUAUAUAUAUAUAUAUAUAUAUAUAUAUAUAUAUAUAUAUAUAUAUAUAUAUAUAUAUAUAUAUAUAUAUAUAUAUAUAUUUGUACGUAAUGAAGUCAUUUUAUUAAUUACAAUAUGAGGGACCGGCCUGACAACCCAGGAACAAAGUCCAGAGAAUUUAGUUCACAAGCCCUAUAUUUAACCAUGUAACUUUGCAGGACACCAUAAAACAUGUACAUGUGGGGUACUGUUUUACUCGGGAGUCUUUGCUGAACACAAAUAUUAGUGUUUCAAAACAGUAAAAAGCAUCACAACCUAUAUGAUCUACAUUUGUGAAUGCUAUGACACACAUGCCACUACUAUUUGAACAUCUUCAGAACAUAAAAUGUGCAGUCUAUACAAAAGCCAUGUUACUGACCUAUGUUGAUUGUUUUUAAUGCGCUUUAUACAGCUGUCGUGGCUUUUCAAACCUGUUUGUUACCUUUUGCACGUAAAAAAGAAAGAAUUAAAAAAAAAAAAGCAUCACAACAAGGAUAUCAUCAGUGAAAGUGCCAUUUUUUGUAUUUUUCACACACAAACGGCACUUUCACUGACGAUAUAAUCGUUGUGAUAUAUUUUACUGUUUUUAAACAAUUAUAAUUGUGUUCAGCGAAGUCUCCAAGUAUAACAGUACACCUCAUUUACAGGUUUUCGGGUGUUUUUAAAAGUUACAGAGUUACAGAGGAUUUAAUCUCCCUUAUAUUAAGGAAGGCUGAUCUGGCAGUUUCUCUCUUCUCCCUCGCGCGCCCUGUGUGAUGCCGGGAGCUGGAACAUGACAUCAUUCCGGCCCCAGCAUACUAAAUAGCGCGCGGGAGGAGGGAGGAACUGCCAGAUUACAGCACAGCCCCACACUGGGCCCCAGGGAGAGGACCCACACCAGCUCUCCAAAAGGCAUAGAGGUUGGAUGUGCCUUGAAAUGUUUAAAUUCAUUUGUGAGUGCAACAGAGUGAAGCAGUGAUUAUAACUCCCGCAUAUCCAAACAUCAGCCAAGACUUGAUGAAGUGUACUAAACAAACUGGUUUAUUCAGUCAAAAGCCAGGAACACAUAAGCCCGCCCAGGCUUCUCUGUGUCUGGGAGAUAAUUGAGUUGAUAACCAAAAAAUACACAGAAAACACCUCAACAAAAUUCCCAGAAUCAAUCUGCUGAAGCCAACAUGUCAGUCAAGUUGCCUCCAGAUUCAAAAGCCACAGAAGCAGCAGCGCCUGUAACAGAAUGAGCACAGAAAGAGCAAUAAAUACAGGCCUCCCCCAGAAUUCAUUGCAUCCAACGGGCCACAGUAGUAGUUGAAACCAGUUUAUUGGGACAAACACAGGAGAAGUUGUUAAGCAGAAACUGAACACAGAGGAACGGCUACACUUAGCCACACAGAGCUUGAGUUUAUUAGGGAAAUAGGAAAAAAAAUAUAUUGGUGGAGUGAGACAUAGUGUGACGUGACACAGAGUAGUAAGACCAUCUGAUUGAAAGACAGAGCUUUAACAUCAAAGGUGCGAAUGUCAGAGGGUCUGUGAAAAGAAGCCAGGCAGGAAAAGCAGGGCCACCAAGAAAUAAAAGAGAGUUACCAUGUCAGUUCUCUAGAAAUCAGAUAACUGAAGAAAUGUGCCUAAAAUCCGGGUAGCCGGUUGCUGGUGAUCUAGCCAGGCGGGGUCCUCUUAGCAGUCUGCAAACUGAAGGAUCUUUGUCAAAAGACAGGCCCUAAAAGGGAACGUAGACAGCUGAAAUAGCAGAUCGGUACAAACUGAUAGUCCAGAGUAGGGAUUUAACUGUCUCUGAUAGGCCUGACAUAUUUAUGGAUCCCCUAAAACAGUCCAGGCUGCCAAGGGUAGUCAGGCCUGGAAUGCAAGAGGAUGGAAAAUCCCUUGUGGCUCUCAUAGGAGAGAAAGAGAGUGUGGAAGCAGAAAGGGAUGCAGACUGGACAUCUCUAGAAGAGUUGGGAACCAUGGUUGGGCUCGCCAAAGAGGGUGGAUGAGGAGAAAUUAUGUUCUCUGAUGUCUGAGUAGAUAAAUAACACAUUCAAAUAGGGGGAGGCACAAUUUGAAGUAAGACAUCUAUGGCCAUACUGUCAGGUAGCCAAAAGAGUGGGCACUGGGUUGGUAGUUCAUACUGGAUGGGGAACAAAUCCAAAGUGAGAGGGCUUCAUUGGAGGUUCAGUGAUUGAAACACUUCCGGAGCCAACAUCUAGUCGCUGACAUCCAUCCAAUGACGGAAGAACCAAUCCACUAUCAGGGUGUCCAUGCUCCGGUGUCAAUGCUUGAUAAAAAGGUUGAGAUAAAAUUGGAUUGGGAGCUGCCAAGCCAAUUGAUGUAGAGCACUGCCAAUAGGUUGUCCUUGUGGAGUAUAAGACAGUAGUCGGGCAUAUGUUUGGCAUAGGAAUAGGUCGUGAAGGAGCUCAGGCAGAGUUUAAGGACAUGUAGAUAUGUCUGAAGAUAUGUAGAAGAUAUGUAGAUCUCAUUCCUUCAGAGCCCACAAUUCAAAGGUGGAUGUCCCUUGGUAAGUCCACCCAUACUAAGGAGCUUGCAUCGGACUCCAGAAUGAAAUCCAGCUGUGAGCUAAAAAUAGCCCUCCUGUUCCAUGCUUCCAGUGCAGUUCCAUUCGAAUCUCAGACACAAGUGGAACUAGUUGGUCAUACAAAAAUAAAACAACUGAGAGAAAGAUGGGCUGGAUUGAAGAGGAGAACAGACCAAUAAUAUGGAUGAGGUCAGAUAUUAGUCAAUCGGAGGAACUUGCGAAUAUCUUUCCUGUUGGACAGGAACAGAGUCUAUGAUGAAACUUAGGAAUUGGAUGGAUUUAGAGGGGGAGAGUAGACUACUGUUGGAUGAUAACAAAGUCUAAAUCUUGAAGAAGAUGCAUGACAUAGAAGUGUGUAGGAAUAUGGUAUAUGAGACUCAAGCUAAGAUGAGAAAUGUCAAUAUGCAUAAAGUGAAGUUGCACUAGCUAACAUUUCCAUUUGUAGUGCCUCCUGGUUAGAGUGGACCAUUCCCAAUGUAUCAAUAUUCAUAGAGAAAGUUGGGUUGAGCACAUAUAGAUGGUGUUAAGGCUACGUUUAUCGGAAAACCAUACAAUGUUUCGGCUUUCACAGCCUGAUAAAGGCAUAUGUGGAAGAUGAGAAAUGUUGUGUAAGUAGAUGAUUGAAUGAAUACCAUGGGUGCGAAGGGAGAGCAUAACUGGCUUGAGAAGCUUUGGGAAGUAAUAUGGUGCCUUGCUUAAGCAGAAUGGUGGUCCUGCAGUGGCCUGGAUUGCUUCUUUGUCACAGAGGCUAUGCAGUUCCUUUUGGAUAAGGAGAUGCUGUGUAUUGCUGACUCUGGUAGGAAUGGGAUGGGACAGUUGAGUCGCAGGGGAAAGAAAGAUCUAUGAGAUAUUCUGACAUGGUCUGCAACAUCAGUGGGUUGUUGGUGAGGUGUCAGCAAUAGUUACUUACCUGUCUUACCUGUUUCCAGAUCUGUCACAGAAGGACAUGGAGCUGCAGCCAUGCCUGGCUCAGGCAAAGAAAGCUUGGUUUGGAUAUCGGGAGCCCUAAGUUUGAAGCGGAACUGAUAAUUAAGGCCUAUUGCCUGUGAAGGUGAUCUGGCUGGUGACCCAUCAGUGUGACUUUCUGAUUUUCAGUAUAUAAGGCUAUAUUGGCAUUGCACACUAGACAGGUCUCUCCUUAGGUCAAUUAAUUUAGGAUAUGUGAGUCUAGGAAGAAAAGAUUGCAUUGUGCUUCACCCACUAAGAUAAAUAAUUGGGUAAAUGGAUUGGUAAUGCCAAGUAAUUUUGCUUGGGUUGCUUUCAGACGUUGUGCCAAUCCUUUUCUGGGAUCUUGUCCAGUGUUAUUUAUAAAAGUGACUAGAACGUUGUCAAAUUAUGGAGUCUUUGUCUGACCUGGUAGAUCUUGGAUAUUCUGCUCAAAGUCUGUUUAUAGCCCCAUUGUCCAAAGAACUGUGAAGUCAGUUUGUAAAAAUCAAGUAAUGUGAGGGAGGAGCCUACACUACAGAUUGUGGGUUUCUUAUUAGGCAUGAAUAAAAAAGCAGGAUUCUUGAAGCAUCUAGGAUUCUACCCAGAGAGUAGUCAGUGGGACAAGUGUGAGAGGCUUAUUUAUCUGGAGGGGGAUCAUCCACAUAGAUUCAGUAUGGGAGGCUCAUCCACUGAAUGUUUAUCUGAAUAACUGUCAGGAAGACCUGAUGAUCUAGCAGGUCAUCAUGUGGACAAAGAGAAUCUUGUAUCUCCUGAGUACCGAGUCUGAUGAAGGACCUAGCCAUUUUUAAAAGGGCGCUUUACAUUUGCCAAUAGACUCACUCCUGCCUUUCUAAGUGUAAAGGUGGGAGCCAACAGAGUCAACAUCUUAGGUGCCGUGGGGGAAGAGGCACAAGGUGGCAUAGUAGUUGGAUGCAAGGCUGGCAGAACCUUUGGUACAAUGUGUCCGUAAUGGCAAUGACCAGCCAGGAGUUGAGAUUCUCUGGGAUCUGAAAAUCCUGAACGGAAUUUGUUGGCACUAUAUAAAUAAUAACAUAAUAAUAAUAAUAAUGGUGAGAUGUGUAACAGAUUAGAAAAAGCAGUAUUGCUAUUUACCGCAGAGAAAACAAGCUCAUUAAGAGUAUAGUAUUAUUGACACCAAUGUAGCUAAAGUGAGGCUCACCCACUAAUGCCAAAGCUUCUGCUAAUAAAGCAACAGAAAGCUGCAAUUUAAUUUAUGUAGAAUAACAUACAAGGAGGGCUCCACCCUGAAAGUUAUAUUGGUGGAAAAGGUAAAGGGACCUAAUGUUUAGCAUACUUGCAGUAACUCUGCUGGCCUGAAGGUGGCAGUAGCCAUCUUUGAAGAAUACAGUAACCGGAGCAUGCAAUAUCUACUGUGAACUGAAGGUGGCAACAGUUAGCAUACAGCAUUGCAGUUGGACUGAAGGAAGCAAAACACAGUACAGAAAAUUCCCUAAGUUUCAUUUGGCUCACCUGGGAGACAGCGGCAAAGAAAAAAAAUGCAUGUGAGGGGUUAGUUUAGGGUUCAGUAUGACCUGUCUUAUUGGGAUUGGUUAAUUAUUGCCCUUGUGUUCGUGUUAACACUUUCUUUGCUGCAGGAAGGAUUAGUAAAGAAGGUUAAGUAGGACAACAUAUUAGGGUUAACCUAUAUGUAUUGACAAGAACAAUAUGGUAUUAAAAAUAAUCGAGUUUUAUUUUCACAUAUUUUAUGUUUUAUACAGCUCUAUCUUGCUAACUAUCCUGCCAAUUUUAAUGUCCCACAGGACUUCCUUGGGAGAGACAGAUAUUUGGAAGAGGGUGCAUGUGUAUUAAAGAAACCAGCAACUUCAUCCAUCCUCGGCUUAUUGACAAUUAUAUGAUUAUUCCUGAAGGAGGACGGUGCAGAAAAAGAGAAAUCAU
rnacentral:lncRNA from 1 species